AGUGUGUUGAAAAUGUCUCCAGGCGGAACUGCCCCGUGUGUAUGGAGGAUAUUCACACGUCCAGAAUUGGAGCUCACGUUCUUCCGUGCGGCCAUCUUCUACACAAAACCUGCUUCGAUGACAUGGUCAGAACAGG